rnacentral:rRNA from 1 species
GACGAACGCUGGCGGCGUGCCUAAUACAUGCAAGUAGAACGCUGAAGAGAGGAGCUUGCUCUUCUUGGAUGAGUUGCGAACGGGUGAGUAACGCGUAGGUAACCUGCCUUGUAGCGGGGGAUAACUAUUGGAAACGAUAGCUAAUACCGCAUAACAAUGGAUGACCCAUGUCAUUUAUUUGAAAGGGGCAAAUGCUCCACUACAAGAUGGACCUGCGUUGUAUUAGCUAGUAGGUGAGGUAACGGCUCACCUAGGCGACGAUACAUAGCCGACCUGAGAGGGUGAUCGGCCACACUGAGACUGAGACACGGCCCAGACGCCUACGGGAGGCAGCAGUAGGGAAUCUUCGGCAAUGGGGGCAACCCUGACCGAGCAACGCCGCGUGAGUGAAGAAGGGUUUCGGAUCGUAAAGCUCUGUUGUAAGUCAAGAACGAGUGUGAGAGUGGAAAGUUCACACUGUGACGGUAGCUUACCAGAAAGGGACGGCUAACUACGUG